rnacentral:rRNA from 2 species
GGGCCCGCACUAUUUGGUGGAGCAUGUGGUUUAAUUCGAAGCAACGCAAAGAACCUUACCAGGUCUUGACAUCCUCUGACAACCCUAGAGAUAGGGCGUUCCCCUUCGGGGGACAGAGUGACAGGUGGUGCAUGGUUGUCGUCAGCUCGUGUCGGGAGAUGUUGGGUUAAGUCCCGCAACGAGCGCAACCCUUGAUCUUAGUUGCCAGCAUUCAGUUGGGCACUCUAAGGUGACUUUUCGUUUGACAAACCGGAGGAAGGUGGGGAUGACGUCAAAUCAUCUUGUCUCUUAUGACCUGGGCUACACACGUGCUACAAUGGAUAGAACAAAGGGCAGCGAAGCCGCGAGGUGAAGCCAAUCCCAUAAAUCUAUUCUCAGUUCGGAUUGCAGGCUGCAACUCGCCUGCAUGAAGCCGGAAUCGCUAGUAAUCGCGGAUCAGCAUGCCGCGGUGAAAUACGUUCCCGGGCCUUGUACACACCGCCCGUCACACCACGAGAGUUUGUAACACCCGAAGUCGGGGGGGGUAACCUUUUAUGGGGGCCAGCC